CUGCUUUGUGCCGUUUGGAAUAUCUUUCAUUUUGUGCCAAAGCACUAUUUGUUUGCGAGGCACAAAUUUAGCGAGGAGAUCGCUUGAAGAUCGGGCCCCACGUCCGUUUAGGCUGAGAUAUUUAUUUCAGAGUCCCGGUAUUAUUUAACACACAGUUCUCAUGGGACAGAUGCAGCCCCGUCACACACCCACUGCCUUGCUCACAGUAGGACUCCUGGUUUGAGUCGAUUGAGAUGGGGUCCGAGGAGUUACGAAGAAAUGCACAGUUCAAUCACUAGAACUUGGCUGCCUCACACACAGUAGGACUGCUGUUUUUUUGGUCAUUCAGUUGGAGUCCAACGAUCUGAGGAGAAAUGCAGAGCUGGCCUAGCUUGAGUAGAAAUGCAAAGGUAACUGAACGUGGCUUGAAAUGGUAGCGCUGUUCAUCGUGACGUCAGCAUGGAGUAAACCCACACGGAGAGCAAACUCAUUCACCGGAUGCACAAAGCUGCAUAGUUCUUCUUGAGAUAUUCUUGAGAGAUAUUUAAUAAAGCUGUCUUCAUCCAAAAACUGAAUUGACUCCUCCAUUUUCUAUGGCUUGGACUUUUAAGUGGUAUGCCCUCUGACACAUUAGCUGAUAUAGAAUAGGAAAUAAACAUUCUGGGGGUGUCCUGUAACUUAGCAACACGGGUCUUCGAAGAUGGCAAACUCUUACCUAUUGACCGUACGGAAUUUUUCAGAAUUAAAGACAAUUAAUGUAGCUCACCAAUUGUAUAAAACAUGACUUUUAAGAUUGUUCAUUAGGCCUUGUAGUGUAUGUGAUUUAAAAAAACAAACAAAACAAAAAAACAACUACAGGUUGAAAUAAUUAAAUCUGUCAAGUGGUUUUCAAAUGGUGUGUGUUAACUCAAACAUGUCAUUUAAGCACUCUGCCGAUUGCAUAACAUAGAAUCAGGCCCCUGAUUAUCAAACCAGAGACAAAUGAAAAGCCUCACUAAAACAUUCACUCCCACUG